ensembl:snRNA U6 U6 spliceosomal RNA
GUACUCACUUAGGCAGCACAUACACUAAAAGUGGAACAAUACAGAGAUUAGCAUGGCCCCUGAGCAAGGAUGAAAAAUAACAAAUGGUGACAUCUUGUCUAUUU